GGAGGGGGUGACUAGUGACAGGGUGAGGGAGGGAAGUGGUGACUAGUGACAGAGGGAGGGGUGACUAGGGACAUAGUGAGGGAGGUGGUGACUAAUGACAGUCACCACCUCCCUCACUCUGUCACUAGUCACCACCUCCCUCACUUUGUCACCAGUCAUCCCCUCACUCUGUCACUAGUCACCCCUUCCUUCCCUCACUCUGCCACUAGUUACUCCUUCCCUCAC